rnacentral:lncRNA from 1 species
AGAAAAAUUCUAGUUUCUACCUGCUUGGCUGCGGAGGACCUUGGGGUGGGCUCAGCGCGGGGGCUGCAGGCAGAAAUGGGCCCAGAGGGCAAGGUCGAGGUUAGAGCCAAGCCUGUGGGCGGGACUACGGGCAGGGGGCGGGGCCCACUCUUGGGGGUGGGGAGGAAGGUGGGGCCAGGCCCAGAGGAAAAGGUUGAAGUUAUAGCCAGGUCUGUGGGCGGUGCCGCAGCAGAGUUGGCCAUAGGGGAAGGAGCCAAUGUGUUAUGCAUCUAGAAAAUAGACAAAGUCUUACUCUGUCACCAAGGCUGGAGUUCAGUGGAGCCAUCUCAGCUCACUGCAACCUCCGCCUCCCAGGUUCAAGCAAUUCUCCUGCCUCAGCCUCCCAAGUAGCUGGAAUUACAGGCACAUGCCGCCACGCCCCGCUAAUUUUUGUAUUUUUAGUAGAGACAGGGUUUCGCCAUGCUGGCCAGGCUGGUCUUGAACUACUUGUCAGGCCUCUGAGCCCAAGUUAAGCCAUCAUAAACCCUGUCACCUGCACAUAUACAUCCAGAUGGCCUGGAGCAACUGAAGAACCACAAAAGAAGUGAAACAGCCCUUUCCUGCCUUAACUGAUGACGUUCCACCAUUGUGAUUUGUUCCUGCCCAACUCCAACUGAUCUCUUGACCUUGUGACAUUCUUCUUCUGGACAAGUCUCAGGAGUUCCCCACCGAGCACCUUGUGACCCCUGCCCCUGCCAGCAAAAGAUAACCACCUUUAACUGUAACUUUCCACUACCUACCGAAAUCCUAUAAAACUGCUGCACCCCAUCUCCUUUUGCUGACCCCUGUCUUGGACUCAGCCCACUUGCACCCAAGUGAGUAAACAGCCUUGUUGCUAACACAAA